UGUCUUGAUGAUCGGCUGAUAACUGUU
rnacentral:sRNA from 1 species